UGUCAGUGAAUUUAAGUGAACCACACACUAUUUUCCCGUUGACGCUACCAAACAAACAAACAAAGGAUUAAGGAACCCAUAUAUUUGGAUCACACUCCCUAAAGAAAGCAAUGACAAAACCAAAACAAAAAAAAGAUCCAACUUAAAUACGCUUGCCAAGAUUCAACUUUUCACUUUCACCAAUUCCUUACAUAGAUCUCUCUCUCAUCCUCCAAAUCUUCGUUUACUAAUCCAAUUAUCACAAACAACCUUCUUUCUGCAAAGAUCUCUGGGUGUUGGGCUCUGAGUUUCAUUUCUUUUUCUUGGCCAUAAUGGAGAAGAAGGUGGUGUUGGCUGUAGUGUGUGCCGCCGCUGUGGCUGGGGCUGUCACGGCGGCCUUCGUUGUCAAGCGAAAAAUGAGGAAGGAUGGUAAGUGGGCCAGAGCAAUAGAAAUAGUGAAAGAGAUGGAGGAAAAAUGUGCCACCCCUAUUGGAAAGCUGAAGCAGGUUGCUGAUGCCAUGCUUGUGGAGAUGCAUGCUGGUCUUGCCUCGGAAGGUGGAAGCAAACUUAAGAUGCUCAUCAGCUAUGUCGAUAAUUUGCCUACUGGUGAUGAGAAUGGAUUGUUUUACGCAUUGGAUCUUGGCGGAACAAACUUCCGUGUAUUGCGGGUGAAACUUGGGGGCAAGGAUGGUCGUCUGGUUAAUCAAGAAUUUGCAGAGGUGCCUAUUCCUCCAAAUUUGAUGACUGGGACAUCAAAUGCACUGUUUGACUAUAUUGCAGCAGAACUAGCAAAAUUUGUUGCUCAAGAAGGUGAAGAGCUUCAAAGUCCACCUGGUAAAAUGAGGGAAUUGGGUUUCACCUUCUCAUUUCCUGUUAUACAAACAUCCAUCGCUUCUGGGACUCUUGUUAGGUGGACAAAAGGCUUCUCUAUAGAUGACACUGUCAGUCUGAAUUUCUUGAUCUUUAUUCUAUAUUUUCUUAUAUGAAAUGCCUUCCUGGUUUUGUGUGAAGUGAAUAUCAUUGCUUUGAUAAUUGGAUAUUAUUUAUAGCAACUCUUAGAAACUGUACACUUUUUCUAGGCUAUUUUUUUAACUAAUAAUGUGAGUGAAGACAUGACUCGUCUUGAUUUCUGGAAAAUAGGUUGGCCAAGAUGUCGUGGUGCAAUUGACCAAAGCGAUGGAAAGACAGGGUGUUCAUAUGCACGUAUCAGCUCUGGUAACAAAGUUUUGGAUUUUCUAAUUACAACUAAUAAGAUCUUCAUGUCAGUACACCAUAUAUAUCUUGUGCUGCUAUUUGAUGUUUGAACUCUAUAUGUCAGUUCUUCAGAAUGUUGUUAUUAUCAUUGCCAUAAAUUUGUAAUCCAAUUUAGACUUAAAGAACUUUGGUGCCAGGUCAAUGAUACAGUUGGAACCCUAGCUGGAGGCAAAUACUUCCACAAGGAUGUUAUUGCUGCCGUGAUUUUAGGUACUGGGACAAAUGCUGCUUAUGUGGAAUGUGCACAAGCAAUACCAAAAUGGCAUGGUGCUUUACCUGAAUCUGGCGAGAUGGUUAUCAAUAUGGAGUGGGGUAACUUUAGGUCAUCACAUCUUCCUCUUACUGAUUAUGACCUUGCAUUGGAUGUUGAAAGUUUAAAUCCUGGUGAACAGAUCUUUGAGAAGAUAAUUUCUGGUAUGUACCUGGGAGAAAUUGUACGCAGAGUUCUUCUAAAUAUGGCUGAAGAAGCUGCUUUUUUCGGUGACAUUCUUCCCUCCAAACUUAAAAUUCCUUUCAUAUUAAGGUAACUUCAAUGGGCUAGAUUAUAUCUUAGGUUUGUGUGGUCUAGUCUACUGAUACAUGUUAAGAAAAUUUAUUUCCUAGACAUGAACUUUCAAUGAGAAUAUCUGAAGUUUGAGAGGACUAGCAUACUAAUCUAGCAAAUAUCAGGAAUUUAGAAGUGGACUUUCCAUUUCUAUUGUUGAUAUUUGGAGCCAUCUCAAAUAUUUGAAUUUUUUAGUCAUUGAAUCUUCCAUCUGAUUAUGUCAGUUUGAGUUUAUUGCAUCUUUUCAAAUAAAGUUUAUUUCAUGUUUUUUGUUUGUUGUUGGAAAAGUCAUUCACAUACAAACUUCAUUGCACUAGAAAAGAUGACUCAUCUUUCCAUGCAUAUGAUUGAUAAUCUCCAACACCAAACUAAUUAAAACUUUUUGGUUUACUGAUAUUAAGUAAUUUGAAAAGACUGAAAAAAGAAAGUGUUAACUAAUGUGGCUUUAAGCAUCUAAGAAGUAAGAUUUUAGGGACCAUGGGAUUCUUUUUGUAUUGCGAAUAAGAGCCAUUUACACAGAGAGUGAUUGCUAAUACUUGUGAGCAAUUGGUUGCUGGUUAAUGAAGGGUACAUUUAUUUUUUUCUUUUGAGGAUAAAAUGUGGUGCAAAGAGUGGUGCCAUAGAUGGGUAGUAUUCUUGCAGGUUGCAUUAAUUCUCUUGAACUGGCCUUUUUCCCCCUUUUUGUUUUUGAAUGUGCACAUUGGUUUUCAUUCGCUUAUUUCUUAUGAUUUUUUUUUCUUGUGCAUCUCCUACUCUAUAUGGGAUCCAUAUCUUUCUUCAUCUACUAAAAGUUGAUAUAAAUAUUUACUAAAGAGAAGAAACUGAGAAAAUCAUAGAGAUAAAUAUGUAUGAGCAAAUUUUUUUUAGUGCAGUUUUCUGUGGCUUAUUUAGUUUGGCAUGACAAAUGACAAGUUGCUAGUGGUUAUGUUCAGCGGCUUAAUCUUCAUUAUCACUUGUCUGAUGCUAGUUAAUGUGUACUAAUUUGAGUGGCAAACAUUGUAGAAUUUAGUUACGUUGUGAAUUUUGCAUGGCAGAACACCUGAUAUGUCAGCAAUGCAUCAUGAUACAUCUUCUGAUCUUGAAGUGGUGGGGAGUAAAUUGAAGGAUAUUUUAGAGAUAUAUAAUACCUCGUUGAAAACAAGAAAAGUAGUUGUUGAGCUCUGCAACAUUGUUGCCACCCGUGGAGCACGACUAGCAGCAGCUGGAAUUUUAGGCAUCCUGAAGAAAAUGGGGAAGGAUACAGUCAAAGAGGGGGAUAAACAGAGUACAGUGAUAGCCUUGGAUGGUGGAUUGUAUGAACACUAUAGUGAGUAUAGCAAAUGCAUGGAGAAUACUCUUAAUGAAUUGCUUGGAGAAGAAGUGUCCAAAACCAUUGAGAUUGUGCACUCCAAUGAUGGAUCUGGCAUCGGAGCUGCUCUCCUUGCUGCCUCGCAUUCACGUUAUCGUUAAGUUGAGCAUCUUGCCAUAGGAAAGAUUUCUUUGUUUUUUUUGGGCUUCAUUGCAACCCCUCCACAUUUUUUUCCCCUUUAAUCAUAUUGUCGUCGUGUUUCUUCAUUGAUCAUCAUUCUUCAACUUUGAUUUAGAAGAAUGGUACUGUGAAUACUUAAAUCACACCUUCCAGAACAUGUAGAGGUGGAUUCAAUAUAUUAAAGCAGGACCUGGAAGUGGCCAAUAUUUUUAUGCUUAGGCCUGCAAUUCUAAUGGACUGAUCCUGCUAGUGGUUGCCAGUUUCUCCUGGUGGUAAUAAUAAAUUGAAUUCUUUACAUGCUGUUGUCGGAUGGUACAUCUGUCCAUUGAUUCUGAUCUGGUGCAUGUUAAUAAAUCCAUGCGGUGUCAUUGUUUGAAUAUCUUCAUCUGUUUACAGAUGAUGAGCUUGUCUUCUUCAUACACAAUACAUAAAUGUUUUAGCAAAUGGUGUUUUUUCCCCCUCCAGUUAGGGUUUGAACCUGUAAUUUUGUAGAUGAUUUCAGUAUCACUAAUGCAAAUGCUGUAAUAAUGAAGUAUUUU
rnacentral:misc_RNA from 1 species